rnacentral:rRNA from 1 species
UGAGGAAUAUUGCGCAAUGGGGGCAACCCUGACGCAGCAACGCCGCGUGAGUGAGGAAGGUUUUCGGACCGUAAAGCUCUGUCGAGCGGGAAGAAAUGCAUGGUGGCUAAUAUCCAUCAUGCUUGACGGUACCGCUAAAGGAAGCACCGGCUAACUCCGUGCCAGCAGCCGCGGUAAUACGGGGGGUGCGAGCGUUGUUCGGAAUUAUUGGGCGUAAAGAGCGUGUAGGCGGCCGAAUAAGUCAGAUGUGAAAUCCCUGGGCUUAACCCAGGACGUGCAUUUGAAACUAUUCGGCUGGAGUAGGGGAGAGGAAAGUGGAAUUCCUGGUACAGAGGUGAAAUUCGUAGAUAUCAGGAGGAACACCGGUGGCGAAGGCGACUUUCUGGCCCUAUACUGACGCUGAGACGCGAGAGCGUGGGUAGCAAACAG